rnacentral:rRNA from 1 species
CCUACGGGAGGCAGCAGUGAGGAAUAUUGGUCAAUGGACGAGAGUCUGAACCAGCCAAGUAGCGUGAAGGAUGACUGCCCUAUGGGUUGUACACUUCUUUUAUAUGGGAAUAAAAUGUUCCACGUGUGGGAUUUUGUAUGUACAAUAUGAAGAAGGACAGGUUAACUCCGUGCCAGCAGCCGCGGUAAUACGGAGGAUCCGAGCGUUGUCCGGAUUUGUUGGGUUGAAAGGGACCGGAGGUGGAUUGUUAAGUCAGUUGUGAAAGUUUGCGGCUCAACCGUAAAAUUGCAUUUGAAACUGGCAGUCUUGAGUACAGUAGAGGUGGGCGGAAUUCGUGGUGUAGCGGUGAAAUGCUUAGAUAUCACGAAGAACUCCGAUUGCGAAGGCAGCUCACUGGACUGCAACUGACACUGAGGCUCGAAAGUGUGGGUAUCAAACAGGAUUAGAUACCCCUGUAGUC